GUCCCCGUAGUGUAGCCGAUAUCACACAGGCUUGCGGAGCCUGUAACCCGGGUUCAAAUCCCGGCGGGGACG
rnacentral:tRNA from 1 species